rnacentral:rRNA from 1 species
CAGCCGCCACGGGAAUACGUAGGGGGCAAGCGUUGUCCGGAAUCAUUGGGCGUAAAGAGCGUGUGGGCGGCUCGGCAAGUCCGCUGUGAAAGUCCAGGGCUCAACCCUGGAAUGCCGGUGGAAACUGUCGAGCUAGAGUCCGGAAGAGGCGAGUGGAACUCCUGGUGUAGCGGUGAAAUGCGCAGAUAUCAGGAAGAACACCAAUGGCGAAGGCAGCCCGCUGGGACGUGACUGACGCUGAGACGCGAAAGCGUGGGGAGCAAACAGGAUUAGAUACCCCCGUAGUCCCUGUCUCUUAUAC